UACGUAGGGUGCAAGCGUUAAUCGGAAUACUGGGCGUAAAGCGUGCGCAGGCGGUGAUGUAAGACAGAUGUGAAAUCCCCGGGCUCAACCUGGGAACUGCAUUUGUGACUGCAUCGCUAGAGUACGGCAGAGGGGGAUGGAAUUCCGCGUGUAGCAGUGAAAUGCGUAGAUAUGCGGAGGAACACCGAUGGCGAAGGCAAUCCCCUGGGCCUGUACUGACGCUCAUGCACGAAAGCGUGGGGAGCAAACAGG
rnacentral:rRNA from 1 species